CACCGGUCCCUGGUUUUCCUUCUGUUUGACAGGCUGUCACCGGUGAACCACAGAGCCCACUGCCUCUGAUUUCCAACCACGUCUGAGCUGACUUUGGACCUGUUCACUGAGAUACUGACAGAUUCUACCCCUGCUUUUCAAUCUGAGUGAAAAGAGGAGGAGCCUUYUGAGGUGAUAGGGCAGCGGGUGAAGAGCUGCAGUGGAUUUUCUGAGCGAAUGUGAUGCAAAGUGGUGUUUAAUGGGCAUGGCUGGAAGGGUGAGUAAGGAUUAAUAGGAGAUUUCAAACCAAUGAGCCGGGAUAUUUUUUUUAUWAUUUUUUUCUGAAGCGGUGCCCUCUUUUACCUCCCAUUACACAAGAUUGUCGUAAUCUGUACCAAAACCCUUAUUUGUUGUUUUCUUACCUAUAACACUUAUUGU